GUGCCAGCCGCCGCGGUAAUACCGGCAGCCCGAGUGAUGACCGAUCUUAUUGGGCCUAAAGCGUCCGUAGCUGGCUACGCAAGUCCGUCGGGAAAUCCACCCGCCCAACGGGUGGGCGUCCGGUAGAAACUGGCCGGCUUGGAACCGGAAGGCUCAGAGAGUACGUCCGGGGUAGGAGUGAAAUCCCAUAAUCCCGCACGGACCACCGAUGGCGAAAGCACUUCGAGAAAACGGAUCCGACAGUGAGGGACGAAAGCCAGGGUCUCCAACCGGAUUAGAUACCCGAGUAGUCC
rnacentral:rRNA from 1 species